CACGAACUGUGCAAACGUUAUUCGGAAUCACUGGGCUUAAAGAGUUCGUAGGCGGCGCGUUAAGUCGGGUGUGAAAUCCCUCGGCUCAACCGAGGAAUUGCGCCCGAAACUGGCGCGCUUGAGUGAGAUAGAGGUGAGCGGAACUGAUGGUGGAGCGGUGAAAUGCGUUGAUAUCAUCAGGAACACCGGUGGCGAAGGCGGCUCACUGGGUCUCAACUGACGCUGAGGAACGAAAGCUAGGGUAGCGAACGGG
rnacentral:rRNA from 1 species